UGGACCAUGGUGCAGCUGGACCUUUCUGCCUU
rnacentral:piRNA from 1 species